rnacentral:rRNA from 1 species
UACGGAGGGGGCUAGCGUUGUUCGGAAUUACUGGGCGUAAAGCGCGCGUAGGCGGACCUGCAAGUCGGGGGUGAAAGCCCGAGGCUCAACCUCGGAACUGCCUUCGAUACUGCGGGUCUCGAGUCCGGGAGAGGUGAGUGGAAUUCCUAGUGUAGAGGUGAAAUUCGUAGAUAUUAGGAAGAACACCAGUGGCGAAGGCGGCUCACUGGCCCGGUACUGACGCUGAGGCGACGAAAGCGUGGG